rnacentral:rRNA from 1 species
AAUGGGGAAACCCAGUGUGACUCGUCACACUAUCAUUAACUGAAUCCAUAGGUUAAUGAGGCGAACCGGGGGAACUGAAACAUCUAAGUACCCCGAGGAAAAGAAAUCAACCGAGAUUCCCCCAGUAGCGGCGAGCGAACGGGGAGGAGCCCAGAGCCUGAAUCAGCAUGUGUGUUAGUGGAAGCGUCUGGAAAGGCGCGCGAUACAGGGUGACAGCCCCGUACACAAAAGCGCAUGUGCUGUGAGCUCGAUGAGUAGGGCGGGACACGUGGUAUCCUGUCUGAAUAUGGGGGGACCAUCCUCCAAGGCUAAAUACUCCUGACUGACCGAUAGUGAACCAGUACCGUGAGGGAAAGGCGAAAAGAACCCCGGCGAGGGGAGUGAAAAAGAACCUGAAACCGUGUACGUACAAGCAGUGGGAGCACCCUUUGGGUGUGACUGCGUACCUUUUGUAUAAUGGGUCAGCGACUUAUAUUCUGUAGCAAGGUUAACCGAAUAGGGGAGCCGGAGGGAAACCGAGUCUUAACCGGGCGUUAAGUUGCAGGGUAUAGACCCGAAACCCGGUGAUCUAGCCAUGGGCAGGUUGAAGGUUGGGUAACACUAACUGGAGGACCGAACCGACUAAUGUUGAAAAAUUAGCGGAUGACCUGUGGCUGGGGGUGAAAGGCCAAUCAAACCGGGAGAUAGCUGGUUCUCCCCGAAAGCUAUUUAGGUAGCGCCUCGUGAAUUCAUCUCCGGGGGUAGAGCACUGUUUCGGCUAGGGGGCCAUCCCGGCUUACCAACCCGAUGCAAACUGCGAAUACCGGAGAAUGUUAUCACGGGAGACACACGGCGGGUGCUAACGUCCGUCGUGAAGAGGGAAACAACCCAGACCGCCAGCUAAGGUCCCAAAGUCAUGGUUAAGUGGGAAACGAUGUGGGAAGGCCCAGACAGCCAGGAUGUUGGCUUAGAAGCAGCCAUCAUUUAAAGAAAGCGUAAUAGCUCACUGGUCGAGUCGGCCUGCGCGGAAGAUGUAACGGGGCUAAACCAUGCACCGAAGCUGCGGCAGCGACACUGUGUGUUGUUGGGUA